UUAUGGCCAAAACUGGACACAUAGUAAAAUAAAUAAAUACAUAAAUAAUCAUGUUAGAUUUACAAACAAACAAAAGUUCUACUAUCUAGCGGCAACAACAAAGUCUGGUUUACUGUAGCCGGAUUAGUCAAGGGAUUUGGAUUAGUGUUAGAGUUAAGGGUUAGGGUUAUUUAGGCCAUUUGCAUUUAAAUCUUUAUCUUUUUUCACAUUAACGAGUGUCAA